GGAAAAUUCGGAACAGGAAAUGCGGGCGAACGUACGCGGAUGCACGCAGAAAAAUAAUCAAACACGGAUGUAACAAAUACUGAUGUAGAAUAAAUAAAUAGAGAGGUUCAGAUUUGACUUCCACGAUCGCCACAGCCUGGCGCUACCAUUAAGGGAUCAUUAACCAACGGGAUGCGUUUUAAUAUAUCGAAUUAACCAAUUAGAUGCGUAUUAAGCCAGUGAGAGGUAGUGCCGUAGUGGUAGCGGUUAGUGAACCUUUCUACUUAGUUGCUGUGGGAAUAGAGUGAGGACGAUAAAAUUCAGAAG